GGGGUUGUGGCUCAAGAGUAGAGUACUUGCCUAGCAUGCAUGAGGCACUAGGUUCUAUCCCCAGCACCACA
rnacentral:tRNA from 1 species